GCCUGGGUGGCUCGGUUGGUUAAGCGUCUGACUUUGGUUCAGGUCAUGAUCUCUGGGUUUGUGGGUUUGAGCCCCGCAUCAGGCU
rnacentral:tRNA from 1 species